rnacentral:rRNA from 1 species
GAUGAACGCUGGCGGCGUGCCUAAUACAUGCAAGUCGAGCGAACAGACGAGGAGCUUGCUCCUCUGACGUUAGCGGCGGACGGGUGAGUCACACGUGGAUAACCUACCUAUAAGACUGGGAUAACUUCGGGAAACCGGAGCUAAUACCGGAUAAUAUAUUGAACCGCAUGGUUCAAUAGUGAAAGACGGUUUUGCUGUCACUUAUAGAUGGAUCCGCGCCGCAUUAGCUAGUUGGUAAGGUAACGGCUUACCAAGGCAACGAUGCGUAGCCGACCUGAGAGGGUGGUCGGCCACCCGGGAAGUGAGACACGGUCCAGACUCCUACGGGAGGCAGCAGUAGGGAAUCUUCCGCAAUGGGGGAAAGCCUGACGGAGCAACGCCGCGUGAGUGAUGAAGGUCUUCGGAUCGUAAAACUCUGUUAUUAGGGGAGAACAAAUGUGUAAGUAACUAUGCACGUCUUGACGGUACCGAAUCAGAAAGCCACGGCUAACUACGUG